rnacentral:rRNA from 1 species
UACGUAGGUGGCGAGCGUUGUCCGGAAUUACUGGGUGUAAAGGGCGUGUAGGCGGGGCGUCAAGUCAGGUGUGAAAUUCCGAGGCUUAACUUCGGGUGUGCAUCUGAAACUGAUGUUCUUGAGUGUCGGAGAGGAAAGUGGAAUUCCCAGUGUAGCGGUGAAAUGCGUAGAGAUUGGGAGGAACACCAGUGGCGAAGGCGGCUUUCUGGACGAUAACUGACGCUGAGGCGCGAAAGCGUGGGUAGCAAACAGGAUUAGAUACCCCGGUAGUCCCU